GAAAAUUGGUGCGUACCAGGAGAUGACAGUUGGUAAGAAGCUUGCGACAAUUGGGAUGCAGGUCUG
ensembl:ncRNA T28A11.24 ncRNA